GGGGUUGUGGCUCAGUGGUAGAGCGCUUGCCUACCAUGCGUGAAUCACUGGGUUUGAUUCUCAAAACCACA
rnacentral:tRNA from 1 species